AAGAGCUGUAUGAAUCGAGAGGUUCACGUACGGUUCUGUGAGAGCCUGCGGGUGAAACUCCAGCGGGCUACUCGAC
rnacentral:ncRNA from 1 species